UUGCAGUUUGUGGACAGAGUUUCGGCCUUGGGCGAGUGUGUUAGUUGAGGAUCUGCGUUGUAGUGUGAGGUAGCUGACACAUUUUGGGGACGGAUUAAAGGGCAAGAUAUUGUACCUCAAGUUUCAGGACAUUGCUGACACAGUUGCAGGUUGUGUCCAUGAUGGACUCGAGGCGAGGGUAUAGCUCGUACCGUGACUCAAGCAGCGACACAGACCAGGACGCCGAGGACCGGCGUGACCGUCUCUACAAGGAUCGGGUCGGGUCGUCCCCGAAGCCGAAGCCGUGCCUGGUACGUCGCCGAAGCUCGGACUCACCAACGCCGGGUUCUUCGUCCCCCAUGUCGCGGCCAUCGGUGGCGGAGCAGGUGAGAC